rnacentral:rRNA from 5 species
AGAGUUUGAUCCUGGCUCAGGAUGAACGCUGGCGGCGUGCCUAAUACAUGCAAGUCGAGCGAACGGACGAGAAGUUUGCUUCUCUGAUGUUAGCGGCGGACGGGUGAGUAACACGUGGAUAACCUACCUAUAAGACUGGGAUAACUUCGGGAAACCGUAGCUAAUACCGGAUAAUAUUUUGAACCGCAUGGUUCAAAAGUGAAAGACGGUCUUGCUGUCACUUAUAGAUGGAUCCGCGCUGCAUUAGCUAGUUGGUAAGGUAACGGCUUACCAAGGCAACGAUGCAUAGCCGACCUGAGAGGGUGAUCGGCCACACUGGAACUGAGACACGGUCCAGACUCCUACGGGAGGCAGCAGUAGGGAAUCUUCCGCAAUGGGCGAAAGCCUGACGGAGCAACGCCGCGUGAGUGAUGAAGGUCUUCGGAUCGUAAAACUCUGUUAUUAGGGAAGAACAUAUGUGUAAGUAACUGUGCACAUCUUGACGGUACCUAAUCAGAAAGCCACGGCUAACUACGUGCCAGCAGCCGCGGUAAUACGUAGGUGGCAAGCGUUAUCCGGAAUUAUUGGGCGUAAAGCGCGCGUAGGCGGUUUUUUAAGUCUGAUGUGAAAGCCCACGGCUCAACCGUGGAGGGUCAUUGGAAACUGGAAAACUUGAGUGCAGAAGAGGAAAGUGGAAUUCCAUGUGUAGCGGUGAAAUGCGCAGAGAUAUGGAGGAACACCAGUGGCGAAGGCGACUUUCUGGUCUGUAACUGACGCUGAUGUGCGAAAGCGUGGGGAUCAAACAGGAUUAGAUACCCUGGUAGUCCACGCCGUAAACGAUGAGUGCUAAGUGUUAGGGGGUUUCCGCCCCUUAGUGCUGCAGCUAACGCAUUAAGCACUCCGCCUGGGGAGUACGACCGCAAGGUUGAAACUCAAAGGAAUUGACGGGGACCCGCACAAGCGGUGGAGCAUGUGGUUUAAUUCGAAGCAACGCGAAGAACCUUACCAAAUCUUGACAUCCUUUGACAACUCUAGAGAUAGAGCCUUCCCCUUCGGGGGACAAAGUGACAGGUGGUGCAUGGUUGUCGUCAGCUCGUGUCGUGAGAUGUUGGGUUAAGUCCCGCAACGAGCGCAACCCUUAAGCUUAGUUGCCAUCAUUAAGUUGGGCACUCUAAGUUGACUGCCGGUGACAAACCGGAGGAAGGUGGGGAUGACGUCAAAUCAUCAUGCCCCUUAUGAUUUGGGCUACACACGUGCUACAAUGGACAAUACAAAGGGCAGCGAAACCGCGAGGUCAAGCAAAUCCCAUAAAGUUGUUCUCAGUUCGGAUUGUAGUCUGCAACUCGACUACAUGAAGCUGGAAUCGCUAGUAAUCGUAGAUCAGCAUGCUACGGUGAAUACGUUCCCGGGUCUUGUACACACCGCCCGUCACACCACGAGAGUUUGUAACACCCGAAGCCGGUGGAGUAACCUUUUAGGAGCUAGCCGUCGAAGGUGGGACAAAUGAUUGGGGUGAAGUCGUAACAAGGUAGCCGUAUCGGAAGGUGCGGCUGGAUCACCU